rnacentral:rRNA from 1 species
AUUGAACGCUGGCGGCAGGCCUAACACAUGCAAGUCGAGCGGCAGCGGGAAAGUAGCUUGCUACUUUUGCCGGCGAGCGGCGGACGGGUGAGUAAUGCCUGGGGAUCUGCCCAGUCGAGGGGGAUAACAGCUGGAAACGACUGCUAAUACCGCAUACACCCUACGGGGGAAAGGAGGGGACCUUCGGGCCUUUCGCGAUUGGAAGAACCCAGGUGGGAUUAGCUAGUUGGUGGGGUAAUGGCUCACCAAGGCGACGAUCCCUAGCUGGUCUGAGAGGAUGAUCAGCCACACUGGACCUGAGACACGGUCCAGACUCCUACGGGAGGCAGCAGUGGGGAAUAUUGCACAAUGGGGGAAACCCUGAUGCAGCCAUGCCGCGUGUGUGAAGAAGGCCUUCGGGUUGUAAAGCACUUUCAGCGAGGAGGAAAGGUUGUUGGCUAAUACCCAGCAACUGUGACGUUACUCGCAGAAGAAGCACCGGCUAACUCCGUGCCAGCCGCCGCCGUAA